GGCGUGCCUAACACAUGCAAGUCGAGCGCGAUUAAUUGGACUGGAGGCUUCGGCCAAAGGGAAGAUUAUGAAAGCGGCGGACGGGUGAGUAACGCGUGAGCAACCUGCCCUGUACAGGGGGAUAGCCACUGGAAACGGUGAUUAAUACCCCAUAAACCCAAAGGAUCGCAUGAUCCAAUGGGCAAAGCCACAAGCGGUACAGGAUGGGCUCGCGUCUGAUUAGCUAGUUGGUGAGGUAACGGCUCACCAAGGCGACGAUCAGUAGCCGACCUGAGAGGGUGAACGGCCACACUGGAACUGAGACACGGUCCAGACUCCUACGGGAGGCAGCAGUGGGGAAUAUUGCACAAUGGGCGCAAGCCUGAUGCAGCAACGCCGCGUGAGUGAUGAAGGCCUUCGGGUCGUAAAACUCUGUCCUAAGGGAAGAAGAAGUGACGGUACCUUAGGAGGAAGCCCCGGCUAACUACGU
rnacentral:rRNA from 1 species